rnacentral:rRNA from 1 species
GACAGAGGUGCCGAGCGUUAGGCGGAAUCACUGGGCUUAAAGCGUGUGUAGGCGGGCCGUUAAGUGUCUUGUGAAAUCCCCCGGCUCAACCGGGGAAUUGCUGGGCAUACUGGCGGUCUUGAGCAAUCUAGGGGCAGAUGGAACAAGUGGUGGAGCGGUGAAAUGCGUAGAUAUCACUUGGAACGCCAGCGGUGAAGACAGUCUGCUGGGGAUUUGCUGACGCUGAGGCACGAAAGCCAGGGGAGCGAACGGG